GUCUUCAUCAAGUCGACCUUAGGCUUAGGCAACAGGGGACGACAUCUAAGAACAAGUUCUUUCUGAAGAUCUUCCUGUAGAAACUGUUGAAAGUGAUCGAAACGAGGGUCUUGAUGUACCCACUACUGAUAAAAGCAAAGAUGAAAUCCACAUCCACCUCCACCACCUGCUUCGCCUACUCUCCCCCAAAACCAUCUUCAACAGGUUCUAAUUCCCAGAGAUUUACGCCUGGUAAUUCUAUCGCUUUACGAAUUGGUUCAUCUAGAAGAGCCAACUUGGCCAGUUGUUUCCACCGAAUCAAGAAAAACUGUGUGGGUCGUAAUUGGAAAUUGAUGGGGAAUGGAGAAAAUGGAAGUGAUUGAUCUCGAAGGGAACAUGCUCAAUUGGAAUUUAAACUCUAAUUUCAGAGAUUUGGAAAACCUUAGGGUUCUUAAAUCUUAAGAUUGGGUUUAAUCAGAUAUCUGGAAAAAUACCCGAUUCAUUAUCCAAUUUGAAGAAUCUCCAGGUGUUUAAUCUUAUAGGAAAUCAUCUAAAUGGAAAUCAUCUAAAAACUGCAAUUUUUUUUGGAAUUUGACUUCAAAUGUUUGAAAUGAGAAACUCGAGAGUUGUUCUUGUUCUUUUAUUUAGCUUGUGUUUUCAAUUUGUAUUCAAUGGUGAUUUAGAAGCA